GGACAGGGGGGUGACUACGGGACUGGCAUGGUGAUGCUCCAAUGGUGACAUUUCUUGAUGUGUCUAAGUUUGUUGUGCCCUUGCUAGUCCAUCAAUACUUUCCUGCUUCUGCUGACUCAGAGUUACAAGAGUAGAUUCGACUGAUCUUUAUCAGGACCAGCUCAGAGCUGUAGGGAAUGAUAAUCCAAUGAGGGAUUUUCUGAUCUGGUGAUAAUGAUGAGCUGUGAAAAUGGGAACUGGAGGCCUGGUCAUACUAUGAAUUAUGCUAAAAAGUGGAAGAGGACUUGCAGAAUAAAAGAGAAAGGCUUAAGGCUCAAACAUACAUGCUGUUACAAGUCAGCAAGUAAGGAAACUCAAAUCUACAGGUGCACUUUGAUGAAAA